rnacentral:rRNA from 1 species
GAUGAACGCUGGCGGCGUGCCUAAUACAUGCAAGUCGUACGGAAAGGCCCUUCGGGGUACUCGAGUGGCGGACGGCUGAGUAACGCGUGGGAACGUGCCCCAAAGUGAGGGAUAACGCACCGAAAGGUGUGCUAAUACCGCAUAUGGUCUUCGGAUUAAAGCUUCGGCGCUGUGGGAGCGGCCCGCGUACGAUUAGAUAGUUGGUGAGGUAAUGGCUCACCAAGUCGACGAUCGUUAGCUGGUCUGAGAGGAUGAUCAGCCAGACUGGGACUGAGACACGGCCCAGACACCUACGGGAGGCAGCAGUAAGGAAUCUUCCACAAUGGGGGCAACCCUGAUGGAGCAACGCCGCGUGCAGGAUGAAGGUUUUCGGAUCGUAAACUGCUUUUAUAAGUGAAGAAUAUGACGGUAACUUAUGAAUAAGGAUCGGCUAACUACGUGCCAGCAGCCGCAGUAAAAC